AAGUCGUAACAAGGUUUCCGUAGGUGAACCUGCGGAAGGAUCAUUAAUACGCUUUUGUUUGUAACAAAACAAAACGUUUUAAACCCCAAAAUUGAAAUAGUGGAAACAUAUCUUCCGGAUGCGAAUGUUGGGGAACUGAGUAAAAUCGGUUCUUUGAAAAAGGACCUCAAGCAAUUGACACUUCAGAGUAGAGCAGUGAGGUGAAACUCGCAAGAGUUUGGUUCUGAAAAACAUUUGUAUCCGGUUAUCAAAUCUGUUCUACCAAAUUAUCAAACAAUAAACCCCAUGUACAACAACUUGAACUAAACAUUUUUUUGUUGUCUGCUUCGCGGCAGAUGUGCAUAGAAAAACCUGAACUUAAGAACAACUCUUAACAACGGAUACCUUGGUUCUC
rnacentral:misc_RNA from 1 species